rnacentral:rRNA from 1 species
AUUGAACGCUGGCGGCAGGCCUAACACAUGCAAGUCGAGCGGAUGAAGGGAGCUUGCUCCUGGAUUCAGCGGCGGACGGGUGAGUAAUGCCUAGGAAACUGCCUGGUAGUGGGGGAUAUAGUCCGGAAACGGGCGCUAAAAUCGCAUACGUCCUGAGGGAGAAAGUGGGGGAUCUUCGGACCUCACGCUAUCAGAUGAGCCUAGGUCGGAUUAGCUAGUUGGUGGGGUAAAGGCCUACCACGGCGACGAUCCGUAACUGGUCUGAGAGGAUGAUCAGACACACUGGAACUGAGACACGGUCCAGACUCCUACGGGAGGCAGCAGUGGAGAAUAUUGGACUAUUGGCGAAUGCCUGAUCCAGCCAAGCCGCGUGUGUGAAGAAGGUCUUCAGAUUGUAAAGCACUUUAAGUUGGGAGGAAGGGCAAUAAGUUAAUACCUUGCGGUUAUGACGGUACCAACAGAAUAAGCACCGGCUAACUACGUG